UACGUAGGGUGCAAGCGUUGUCCGGAAUUAUUGGGCGUAAAGAGCUCGUAGGCGGUUUGUCGCGUCUGCUGUGAAAACUCGGGGCUUAACCCCGGGCCUGCAGUGGGUACGGGCAGACUAGAGUGCGGUAGGGGAGACUGGAAUUCCUGGUGUAGCGGUGAAAUGCGCAGAUAUCUGGAGGAACACCGGUGGCGAAGGCGGCAUCCUGGACCGGCAUUGACGCUGAGGCGCGAAAGCCAGGGGAGCAAACGGG
rnacentral:rRNA from 1 species